GGCUCGUUGGUCUAGGGAUAUGAUUCUCGUUUGAGUGCGAGAGGUCCCGGGUUCAAGUCCCGGGCGUGCAA